rnacentral:misc_RNA from 1 species
AGCAGCCGCGGUAAUUCCAGCUCCAAUAGCGUAUAUUAAAGUUGCUGCAGUUAAAAAGCUCGUAGUUGAAUUUCGGGACUAAUAUGUCGGUCGUGCCUCGGUACGUACUGGCUUAUUGGUUUCUCCUUUCUGAAGAACCAUGAUGUCAUUUAUUUGGUGUCGUGGGGAAUCAGGACUGUUACUUUGAAAAAUUAGAGUGUUUAAAGCAGGCUCACGCUUGAAUACAUUAGCAUGGAAUAAUGAAAUAGGACGUUUGAUUCUAUUUUGUUGGUUUCUAGGAUCGACGUAAUGAUUAAUAGGGAUAGUUGGGGGCAUUAGUAUUCAAUUGUCAGAGGUGAAAUUCUUGGAUUUAUUGAAGACUAACUACUGCGAAAGCAUUUGCCAAGGAUGUUUUCAUUAAUCAAGAACGAAAGUUAGGGGAUCGAAGACGAUCAGAUACCGUCGUAGUCUUAACCAUAAACUAUGCCGACUAGGGAUCGGAUGAUGUAAUUUUUAAUGACUCAUUCGCGCCUUAAC